UCUUCCGUGGCGCAAUUGGCUAGCGCGUCUGACUGUUAAAAGAUAUCCGAUGCCGUCCUUGGUGUUUGAUGUCGUUGCAAUCAGGAGGUUGACAGUUCAAGCCUGUCCGGGAGAG
rnacentral:tRNA from 1 species